CAGAAACAGCCCUGAAGACCACAACGUCAGUGAAGAAGGAGGGGAAGGAGGUGCUCAGGCAACGGAGCAGAGAUUCCCCUGCAGCCCGUGGUGCAGAUCACGGUGGGACAGCUGUGCCCCUGCAGCCCAGGGAAGCUCAUGGUGCAGGAGAGCUCCACCUGCAGCCCAUGGAGGACCCCACGCUGGAGCAGAUGGAUGCCUGAAAGGAGGCUGUGACCUCGUGGGAGGCUCGUGCUGCAGUAGGCUCCCAGCAGGAGCCUGGAGCAGAUUUGCUAGCAGGAAUUGUGGCCCCGGUAGGGGGGCAGAACAGGUGUGAGCUUGUGACUUUGGAGAUAAUGACUUGGUCAGCUGGGCUUGAAUAAUUUUGUCACCCCAAGAUGCCCUCUGGAGAGCAGAAGGUGCAAUUCUGCUGAAAGGACAGACUUUCUACCCCUUCUACCUGACGAUGAGCAGGCUGAGGGUUCGUAGGUUGCAAAUAUAUAUAAUAAAUAUAUACAAUAAAAAUAUAUAAUAAAUAUAAUAAAUAUGUAAAACAUAAAAAUACCCAGCUUCAAAGACAAAGAAAAAAAGAAGUGCUGUAGUGCUCCACUGCAAGACCCAUCACCAACAAGUAACAGAAGUGCUAUAUAGAUAUUAAGACUCAGGGCUGUCUAACAGAUUUCUGUGAAACAUAAUCCCUACAGUGACAAGAGCAAUAAAACUCAAAGCUCUUCCCCUGCUCCUGAUGAUUUUCUUGUGAGUUUUGAAACCUCGGCAAACAGACCUAGGACACUGUGCUUUGUGAAAUGUUUCUGUUACUUGAAUAAAAUCCCCUGUUUCCUGAAAAGUGUGUUUAUUUUCUUUCACACCAAGGACUGCACUGCAAGAUCCCACAGCAUCUGCGUUGGAUGGGAUGAACUGCACCCUGAAAAAUCCAACCCUUUCUCUCUCCUUUAACUAUAAAGAAAGCAAUGAAUUACUAGCUCAGCUAUAGAUGUCUCAAUUCAGCACAAUUUUAUGUUACUCAUUAGAAAAGAAGAAAAGAACGAGGAUCAGAGGGUCAAGGAUGGAAAUGAUAAAGAAGAGCCAAGGAGAACAUCUGGACCAUCUGGAUACCUUCCCAUAUUCAGCUCCAAGGACACUGGGCUAAUUAAAGCUAUUGAUGGAAAAGUCCAUGGCAAUUGAAAUGGGCCUACAACAGAACCAACCAGAACAAAGCCCGCGAACCCAAGCCCAAUCAAGAGCUAACAAGUGACUAUGGGAGGGGGAGUUGAAAAAGUAUAAAAGUUGCUGUUUGUUUUUAUUGGGCUUGUGGGCCGAUGGGGAGCAGGGGUCUCCUCAGGCCACCCAGCGCGCUGAUUUGCUUAUCUGCACUUUAUAUAAAUCUCACAAUAAAUUUUACUGCUAAAUUUU